GAAGAAGCUGAGCAUAGCCCUACAACAAGCAAAGGGACAGAAAAACCAGCUCUGGGGAAGUGUCGUGGGGAAUUGAUUACCAGUUUACAGCUAUUGGGUGAUUAUGAGUCCUUACUCACUCCACCUCAGCCCGUUCUUGUGGAAGCCAAUCAGGCUGCUGCCAAAGCUAUUUUGUUCUUAUCAGGAAACCCUGUUGGUAGUGGAUACAUGGAAUAUACGAAUGGCUUGCCGAUAAAAUAUUCUGGCAACUUACGCCAUCUAAUUGUUGAGGCAUGUAUUGCCAGAAACCUACUUGAUGCAUCAGCUUAUCUAUGGCCUGGCUAUGUGAGUGAAUGCAGCAAUCAAAUUCCUUGUAGCAUUUCUAAUCAUGUCCCUGGCUGGUCUUCUUUGAUGGAGGGGUCACAGCUAACUCCUGAAUUGGUUAAUGUCUUAGUUGCAACUCCAGCUUGCAG
rnacentral:sRNA from 1 species